UACGUAGGGUGCGAGCGUUGUCCGGAAUUAUUGGGCGUAAAGGGCUCGUAGGCGGUUUGUCGCGUCGGGAGUGAAAACCUUGGGCUUAACUCAGGGCUUGCUUUCGAUACGGGCAGACUAGAGGUAUGCAGGGGAGAACGGAAUUCCUGGUGUAGCGGUGAAAUGCGCAGAUAUCAGGAGGAACACCGGUGGCGAAGGCGGUUCUCUGGGCAUGAUCUAACGCUGAGGAGCGAAAGUGUGGGGAGCGAACAGG
rnacentral:rRNA from 1 species